UACAGAGACUGCGAGCGUUAUUCGGAUUCACUGGGCGUAAAGGGUGCGUAGGCGGCGGAGUAAGUUGGGUGUGAAAUCCCGGGGCUUAACCUCGGAAUUGCAUUCAAUACUGCUUCGCUUGAGUACUGGAGAGGAGGCUGGAAUUUACGGUGUAGCAGUGAAAUGCGUAGAUAUCGUAAGGAAGGCCGGUGGCGAAAGCGAGCCUCUGGACAGUUACUGACGCUGAUGCACGAAGGCCAGGGGAGCAAACGGG
rnacentral:rRNA from 1 species